rnacentral:rRNA from 1 species
GUGGGGAAUAUUGCACAAUGGGCGCAAGCCUGAUGCAGCCAUGCCGCGUGUAUGAAGAAGGCCUUCGGGUUGUAAAGUACUUUCAGCGGGGAGGAAGGUGUUGUGGUUAAUAACCACAGCAAUUGACGUUACCCGCAGAAGAAGCACCGGCUAACUCCGUGCCAGCAGCCGCGGUAAUACGGAGGGUGCAAGCGUUAAUCGGAAUUACUGGGCGUAAAGCGCACGCAGGCGGUCUGUCAAGUCGGAUGUGAAAUCCCCGGGCUCAACCUGGGAACUGCAUUCGAAACUGGCAGGCUAGAGUCUCGUAGAGGGAGGUAGAAUUCCAGGUGUAGCGGUGAAAUGCGUAGAGAUCUGGAGGAAUACCGGUGGCGAAGGCGGCCUCCUGGACGAAGACUGACGCUCAGGUGCGAAAGCGUGGGGAGCAAACAGG